rnacentral:lncRNA from 1 species
GGGCCAAUCAGAACCUGCCGGGGGGUCUCUAUGCUGACCGGAAGUGGGUCUGUUACCCGGGGGCCAUCUUGCCGCUCGAGGUGCCGAGCCUUAGAGACGCGGGUCCCCGGGGGUCGAGGAAGGGGAGGCAGCUGUCGGUCACCGAGCUCCCGGGCGCAGGCCAGCCCGAGACCAGGCCCUAGAACCUUCCAGAUGCCGGUGUAUGUAUCGGGCCGCGGAGGUUGGGUCUCCCGCGGCUGGGCAUCAUCGCGCAUGCGCGGCCGGGCCAUGGCUGCCGCUCCGCAGGAAGGAGAGGAGGAGGCAGCAAGGAGUGGGUGGACUGGGAGUAACCCAGGCCCAGAGGCCCGAGCAUCCCCGGUGGCGGCACAGCGUCUGGACGGCAAGUUUGGCUGUGCAGGGUGAGGGACGACAACUGCCCCUGCUCCUCUCCCCUCUGCCCAGCUGCCCAGCGAGACUGUGGGGCAGACACGUGCACAUGGAUUGAACUCCCGGGGCAGGGACCUUCGCUAUUUGUUCUCUGCUGCGGCAGAGGUGCUGAAGGAGGAGCUCAGGAAUCCUCGUCGGGUGGACAAAUGACAGGAGAGUGGGACAUACCGAAUGGAUGAACGAGUGAGUGAGACGGAUAAGCAGGGCUUCCGGGUGGUCCAGGUUGGUGGGUCGUCCCGCCUCAGACUCUGAGGGCGAAAGUGAGGGCAGGGACCAGCUUAUUGUGCAUUUCACUCAUUUUACAACGAUUCCUAACUUUUAAUUACAGGAGCACAUGCUGAACACGUCUUGCCGUGGGAGGGGCGCGAGCCUGGCAGGCAGGCCAACCCACCCUUCCUCCCCAGCUCCCCCUCGCCCCGCAGGUGGACGUGGUUGAUGGUGGGGACGUUCCCUUCCACGGCUUCCUCUGGGCAUUUCGCUUGUGUGCACGAGCGCGUGGGCGCGUGGCUGGGCUGCACCCAAUCACGAUACGUGGCCCAGACGUCUCGCGGCAUUGAAAGAAGAGUUGGGGCACCUGAGUGGCUCGACUGGACAAGCAUCCCGCUCGAUUUCAGCUCAGGUGGUGGUGUCCGGGCUGUGAGCUGCAGCCCGCCGGUGGGCUCUGUGCUCGGAGGGGAGUCUGCUGCUCUUCCUCUGCCCCUCCCCCGUAAAUAAACAGACAAAUCUUAAAAGAGGGUCUUAAAAA